rnacentral:rRNA from 1 species
UGCCGCGUGCGGGAUGAAGGCCUUCGGGUUGUAAACCGCUUUUGUCAGAGACGAAAAGGGACGUACGAAUAAUACGUUCCGCUGACGGUAUCUGAAGAAUAAGCACCGGCUAACUACGUGCCAGCAGCCGCGGUAAUACGUAGGGUGCAAGCGUUAAUCGGAAUUACUGGGCGUAAAGGGUGCGCAGGCGGCUGUGCAAGACAGAUGUGAAAUCCCCGGGCUUAACCUGGGAACUGCAUUUGUGACUGCACGGCUAGAGUUUGUCAGAGGAGGGUGGAAUUC